UCCCCCUCCAACAUGCUUUUAAUUGGGUAACUGAAGGCUCUAAUGUUCCCCUCUGGGACAUCUGCUUGCAGGGAGAUGCUGGCUCCCAUUCCCAGCCUGGAAUCACUCCCAGCUCCGGCUCCGUGGCACCCACCUGGGAGCGAUCAGGGACCUGCUGGAGGCUCUGGAUGUGCUCCCUCCAUGGCACUGCUGGGUGCUGGGGGUGUUCCCCCCCUCCCUGCUGAACUGUCACAGCCAGGCUGGAAUCAGAAGGGUUUGGGGUUGUGCCAGCCCGUGCAAGGAGCUGCCCUGAAUCAACUCCCUGGGCAGAUGGACUCGCGUGGGGCUCAUAAAACCCCGAGCACCUUCUUGGCAGAGUCACAGUAA
rnacentral:lncRNA from 1 species